rnacentral:rRNA from 1 species
GAUGAACGCUAGCUACAGGCUUAACACAUGCAAGUCGAGGGGUAACGAGAGGAAAGCUUGCUUUCCUUGUCGACGACCGGCGCACGGGUGAGUAACGAGUAUCCAACCUGCCCCCAACUAGGGAAUAACCUUGCGAAAGUAAGACUAAUACCCUAUAAUUUCCUCAGAUGUCAUCUGACGAGGAAUAAAGAUUUAUCGGUUGUGGAUGGGGAUGCGUCUGAUUAGCUUGUUGGCGGGGUAACGGCCCACCAAGGCAACGAUCAGUAGGGGUUCUGAGAGGAAGGUCCCCCACAUUGGAACUGAGACACGGUCCAAACUCCUACGGGAGGCAGCAGUGAGGAAUAUUGGUCAAUGGGCGGAAGCCUGAACCAGCCAAGUAGCGUGCAGGAUGACGGCCCUAUGGGUUGUAAACUGCUUUUACACAGGAAUAAAGUUAGCCACGUGUGGUUAUUUGUAGGUACUGUAUGAAUAAGGACCGGCUAAUUCCGUGCCAGCAGCCGCAGUAA